UCCCUCGGUAGUGUAGUGGUGAGUGUCCCCGCUUGUCACGCGGGAGACCUGGGUUCAAUUCCCCGCCGGGGAG
rnacentral:tRNA from 1 species